CUCUUUGACCAGCUGUUGACGCGGAGUUUAAGGGUGCUACGUGCUUUCCAAGGCAACAGAGAGAAUUAGUGCACAGAUGUUGCAGAGAAAUGGCAAACAAGAAAAAACAGGCGUGAUCUUUCUGGUGUAUGCUCAUGUUAAAAAGACUUUACAUGAAAAAGAGAGAGAAGGAGGCGAUGUCGUUAAGGAGUUGAAGAAGGAAAUAGAAACGGGAUGUAAGUUUUUAUGCAGAGAGGCGGGAAGGAAGUGAAAUGAAGUUGGUCACUAGAGGGUAAAAUAAGCUUUCAGUAACCAGGUCAAGCGUGCACCUAUUGGAAUCUUGCCUGGAGAAGCUUGAAUGUUGUACGGCGGAGACAGAGACGCUGGACUCGGUGAGUUGAUCGUGUGUUUCAGAGUGAAGAUGGACUGUGGUUGACUUGGGAUCACCUUGUUGGAUUCAACAUGCAGGGGGAGCCAGGGAUCAGUCACCUCAGCGGGGACUUCCAUGCAGUGGCCUCUGCAGCGAAGUUACUAAACUCUCAGACAGAUCUUCCAUAAAGAACCAAAAAGGUAAAACAUUCACAUGUGUGUUUCUUGCUCCCUGCAGACGCAGUCAACCUCAUGAGCAGAUGUUUUGGAGGAUUUCAAGCAAAGCAUUCUGGGGGACUUCUCCUGGCAUCACUCUGACCUAGAUGAUAUAGUGUGCUCAUAUCCUGGCAUGUCUACAAAGAACAUGCACAUCAGCAUCACCGGCGCUGAUGACCGAAAGUGAGUUAAGUGGGAUUUGGGGAGUUUUUUGUGAGAAUCUCAUGCCUUAUUUCCACUUUGUUACUUAUCUUUUACUCCAUCGCUUUCAAGGCUCUCAUUAAAUUGGCAGGGGAUUUCCUCAUGCUACUUCUCGUUUGGUUUUAUAGUCGGAGGACAGAUUUGAGACAAUACUCAAACAAUCAUAACAAGCUACUGUGGAAAGAUAAAUGAGUCUUUCGUUUAGAGGAUGGGGAAAUGGAUUUGUGUGACUUUGAGAUGGUUAACUCUUUUAUAUAUACAAAAAAGCCCUGAAACUAGUAUGACACUCAGUAGAGCGCACACCACACCAUCUGGAUUUUUAUUUGGACCUGCACCAAAUUGCUUUAAUUGCCUAAAACAUGUCAGAUUUUCUUUCAUCAAGACCCAAUAAUUAUUCUCUUGGAAACCAAUGAAAAUAUAGAAAAACGUCCCAUUUUACAAUGUUCAGGAAAAUUAUUCCUGGAUUAACCCCCUGAUCCAGAUCUGCACCAAAAUGUAUUACAUCCUCCAUUGACCCACAGAGCACACUACCAUCAAGUUUCAUGGAAUCCAUUCAGCUGUUUUUGUUUAAUCUUGUUCACAAUCCAAUCAACAAACAAACAGACAGGGGUGAAAACAUAAGAUCCUUGGUGGAGGUAAUAAUCUACUGUGGAGAAAAAUAUGUUGUGUCCAUUGUCUAACGGAUCUAAAGGAUCAACACUGUCACAUUAUCACAACAUUAUUAUCACUUGGUGACAGACUUGUGUAAUCACCUGAACACAUGGAAUCCAUAUGAUGAGGAAAUGCCUCAGAGGCAGCUGACGUGCCUCUCCGAGGUGUCUGUACAUAUAUCUCACUUCUGUUUGAUGGAGCUUUGUUUAAUUUUCUUUUCCUCUGACUUUGCAGUAAAACACUGAUAUUGUGUAAAAGGCCCCUGGCUUCAGAGUAGAGAGUGGUGCGUGUACUGCCUCUUUUUAUUUUUUUUGAACAGUGAGUGUUUCAGCAACAUGACUGGAAUCUCAAUGCUUGUUUUCUUAACCAAAGCCCCCUGUUUGUAUUUCAGCGCCUCCCCUGUCCCAUAUCUUCUUCUAUCUUCUCCUUCUGCUCCCAUCUGAAGGACUCUUCAAAUAACCUUUGACCCCAGCUGGAUUAAAGGCAACUGGCUGUGUGCAGCUGUUUAUUCUCUCAUCUGAACCCCCCCACCCCCCCUGUUCUGUUUCUAUUCAUCGAUUCUCUGGGCCUCAAGAGAACAGGGAGAAUGUCAUCACACUAUCUUUGCCUUCCUACAUAAUCAGUGCCUCGGCCUCCAGAUCUCUUAUUUAUUUUGACAUGUAUUUCUCAAAUUCAACCCCCCUAAGGUAAAUCAUCAUAAAAAUCCCUACAUUCACUCAUCUGUGUUUCAGGGGAAAAUAUCUCUGUUUCAAGGAAUUCAUAUCAUGCAUAUCCUGCAUUUCCUGCAAUUGUGAAAUAUGAAACUAAAAGCAGGAUGUGACAGUAUGUGGAAAUUACAGUGUUCAGUCUUGUAUUAUUCCUGAUAGUCAGAGGUGUGUUAUUGAUGCAGGAAUGUUCUUGGGAAGUCAACAGUUUUAUUUUUACAAUAAAACAAUACCCACCCACAUACACACCCACCCACGUACACUAACAAUGCAAUGUAAAGUUAAUGAGCUUGUGUAUCUUAAAGAAAAACACAAGAGCUGUGUCUCUGAAUCACUGUCACAUCAAAAAUGGUCCAGAAGAACAUUCUGUGUGAAAUAUGCAGACGUGGAGCUGGGAGAGCUAAAUACACACAAUCUGUCUCGAGAUGUGGGUGUGUGGGUGCGAAUGCGCUGGCGACCUUACAGUGUGGGCAUGUUAUAAAGCCUGCCAGCACGCAUAGAGAACAGUUUAGCUUGGCCUGAUUGAGAGAAGGAAUUUGAUACCAUCACUGUCACCAGGUUUUUCCUUUAAUUUUAACGUUUUUUUACAGUAGUAAAGGAAACAGUGCUUUAUGUAAAUAUCUGUUUUAAUCCCAUGAUGGAAUAAUAUGUGCAUAUGUACAUUUUAAAUCUAAAAUGUGUGUAUAUAUGUUGAAUAUAAGUAAGAAUUAGGAUUCGCAUUAUGCACCAGCUGAGCCACAUCACAGUAACAACUGCAUCAUUGGGAGCAUGAGAAGAAAACAGGACAUUUUAUAUUGUAGUUGUCUUAUCUAAUCUACUGCUGGUAAAUUUCAACUGUAGCAAACUAACCAACAUAGUUUAAAAGUAGUUAAAAGUUAGGAAAUAGUUUCCUUAUAUUGUUGUGUUUCAGACAUAUGGGUCUGAUUUGUGAUAUAAUUUAGAAUAUCUUUGUUAUUAUUAUUAGUAUUAUUAUUAUUCUGUGUUUCUCUUGUUUGUUAGUGACUAACAUUACAUCAGUUAUACAUGUACACACAGGCAUAAAAGAGACAUAUAUAUAUAUAUAUAUAAAUAUAUCUGACAUAUUUUCAUAUGUAAUGAGCAUGAAAUAAUUUCCAGUGGUCUAAAUGUUAACUUAUUGAUCAACUAAUACAAUCUAAUAUAAUAUUACAUCAUAUUUGAUUAUAUUAUGUUAUAUAUUAUAUAUUUUGAUUAGCGUGAUCACAUGUGCUGAAAACUGCAGGCUAUGUAACACUGUCUGACUCAUGAA